rnacentral:tRNA from 1 species
AUCAAUAUGUCUGAAUAAUAGGUGUGGGCCUGUAAAGCUUAUUAUAAAUUUUAAAAUUUUAUUGAUA